rnacentral:rRNA from 1 species
GCCUACCAUGGUGGUAACGGGUAACGGGGUGUUAGGGCACGACACCGGAGAGGGAGCCUGAGAAACGGCUACCACAUCCAAGGAUGGCAGCAGGCGCGCAAAUUACCCAAUCCCGACACGGGGAGGUAGUGACAAUAAAUAACAAUACGGGGUUCUUUCGGAUCUCGUAAUUGGAAUGAGUACAAUUUAAAUCUCUUAACGAGGAACAAUUGGAGGGCAAGUCUGGUGCCAGCAGCCGCGGUAAUUCCAGCUCCAAUAGCGUAUAUUAAAGUUGUUGCAGUUAAAAAGCUCGUAGUUGAAUUUCGGGAUCAUUAUGUUGGUCGUGCCUUGGUACGUACUGGCAUUAUUGAUUCCUACCUUCUGAAGAACUUCGAUGUCAUUAAUUUGGUGUCUUGGGGAAUCAGGACUGUUACUUUGAAAAAAUUAGAGUGUUUAAAGCAAGCUCACGCUUGAAUACAUUAGCAUGGAAUAAUGAAAUAGGACGUUUGAUUCUAUUUUGUUGGUUUCUAGGAUCGACGUAAUGAUUAAUAGGGAUAGUUGGGGGCAUUAGUAUUCAAUUGUCAGAGGUGAAAUUCUUGGAUUUAUUGAAGACUAACUACUGCGAAAGCAUUUGCCAAGGAUGUUUUCAUUAAUCAAGAACGAAAGUUAGGGGAUCGAAGACGAUCAGAUACCGUCGUAGUCUUAACCAUAAACUAUGCCGACUAGGGAUCGGAUGAUGUUAAUUUUUUAAUGACUCAUUCGGCGCCUUACG